rnacentral:rRNA from 1 species
UAGGGAAUCUUCGGCAAUGGGGGCAACCCUGACCGAGCAACGCCGCGUGAGUGAAGAAGGUUUUCGGAUCGUAAAGCUCUGUUGUAAGAGAAGAACGUGUGUGAGAGUGGAAAGUUCACACAGUGACGGUAACUUACCAGAAAGGGACGGCUAACUACGUGCCAGCAGCCGCGGUAAUACGUAGGUCCCGAGCGUUGUCCGGAUUUAUUGGGCGUAAAGCGAGCGCAGGCGGUUUAAUAAGUCUGAAGUUAAAGGCAGUGGCUUAACCAUUGUUCGCUUUGGAAACUGUUAAACUUGAGUGCAGAAGGGGAGGGUGGAAUUCCAUGUGUAGCGGUAAAAGGCGUAGAUAUAUGGAGGAACACCGGUGGCGAAAGCGGCUCUCUGGUCUGUAACUGACGCUGAGGCUCGAAAGCGUGGGGAGCAAACAGG